rnacentral:rRNA from 1 species
UACGUAGGUGGCAAGCGUUACUCGGAAUCACUAGGCGUAAAGCGCAGGUAGGCGGUUCGGUAAGUCUCUUGUGAAAGCUCCCGGCUCAGCUGGGAGAGGUCAAGGGAAACUGCCGGGCUAGAGUGUGGCAGAGGAAGCUGGAAUUCCCGGUGUAGCGGUGAAAUGCGUAGAGAUCGGGAGGAAUACCUAUGGCGAAAGCAGGCUUCUGGGCCAUCACUGACACUGAUCUGCGAAAGCUAGGGGAGCAAACAGG